rnacentral:rRNA from 1 species
GACAGAGGGUGCAAACGUUGUUCGGAUUUACUGGGCGUAAAGGGCGCGUAGGCGGCCCUCCUUGUCGGGUGUGAAAGCCCUGGGCUUAACCUAGGAAGUGCACUCGAAACUGCCAAGCUUGAGUUCUGGAGAGGAAGGCGGAAUUCUCGGUGUAGAGGUGAAAUUCGUAGAUAUCGAGAGGAACACCGGUGGCGAAGGCGGCCUUCUGGACAGCAACUGACGCUGAGACGCGAAAGCGUGGGGAGCAAACAGG